UCUUUAGACGAAAAAUCAAUUAUGUACCAUUUCUCUUGUCAACACUCAUUAUUUCAAUGGUUUUGGAUUUUUGUUUUAUUUCUGCAUAGCUAAGCGAAGGAAACAACGUUGGGAAAUUUGCUAACCCAACUUUCAAAUCCUUAAGGUACCCGAUACGCACUAUCUCCAGACGCCACUCCAAAUUUUCUCCAUGAUUAAAACUUUUGAGCUUUCCUCCCAUUAGUUUCAGCUCUUUGCAUUCCUCGGGCAGCUUGCUAGGCUUUAGCCAUUCUGGAAUUUCCUGCCCUGGAAAGCCUUCAAGAAUCUUUUCAAUCUCAAAGGCAAAAUUAUUCUCUCACUGUACCCGUUCUCAGACACACCCCAUGAUAUUUUUAGAUGCUCAAGAGACAACCCUCUCCAACUUUCAAACUCCCCAUCUUCUAUCACAGCCUCAGAUCCUAUAUGUAUGCUGAGCCGCCUUAGAUUUUUCAAAUUUGCAAGCUCUGAUAUGCUGUCUUGACUCUCUCUAGAAUUUCCUACUGCAUAUCCCUCCAGUACUUGGAGCUGUGAAAUUAUUUGAUAAAAUUGUAGAUUAAUUUCUUUUGGGAGGAGACGUCCAACUGGUGUUUUGGUGUUUCGGUCCAUUAAAUUAAUUUGUAGAAGUCCAACAAAGUUAUUUUGAGCAUGUCACACAUCCAGUAAAAAUCCAGCAAAGAGAAAGGCUCAAGGUCUUGGCUUGAUCCAACUUUGGAAGCACACGCUUAUCCAUUCUUCAUCCAAGCAUUCAAUACAUUUCCAGCAAUGCAAGAAGACCUUCAACAUCCAAGAAUGUCCAACAGCUUGAAACGGUCAAGCUUGGAGGAGUCUCGGUUGGACUAUCCAGCUGGGGAAGCAAGGCCUUCAACAUCCGUCCAGCAAUGCAGAAGUGCACUAUCCAGCUGCUGUGAAACGUCCGUCCAACAGAGCAGCACACGUUCAUGAGAAAGAAAACAGUUUCACUCACGACUGGAAGGAGGUGAAGCAAGGAAGGCUGGCAGCAAUCUACACACUUCAUGUACACGGUCCAGGUCCAGCUCCAACUCCAACUCCGACCAGCAGCAAAAGGAUGGUGCCCAUGAGUGAAUGUCCAGAUGAGCACGUGAUGGACAACAUGAAAAUGAGAAAGGAAUCUCACGCACAAAGAAAUUGGCAGCACAUGGGUGUAAGUGGAUUUUUGGUCAGGAAAGAAUAAUUGGUACUAGGAGAAAUAUAUAUAUUUUUUUUUUUGAAAAGAAAAGAAGGUAAUGCCAAAAUUCUGAAACCACAACACGUGAAAGUGGGAAGAUGGCAUGGAGAAUAAAAUGAAGUGAUGAUGACAUGGAAGCCACCCACAUGAAGGACACUUGUUACUUUAAUAUGGAGAGCACUAAACUAUGUGUGGAAGAAUAUGGAUGGUGCAGCAAUUUUGGAAGCACACGGCACUUCACAUACAUACCAUACCACAUGGGCUCAAUAAAAUUAAAAUAAGAAAGAAGUUAUGUUAGUGUGCACGUUGGAAGCAAAUGGAAGUGCAUUAUGACAUGGAACACUAAAACGGCACUUUGCAGAGAUGGUGUGUUCUUGAAUUUUAAAAUAAUUGGCUUGCAAACAAUAAGGCACAUGGACGACAAUGUGGGGGCUGCAGUCACCAAACACAAUUUUUGGUUUUAUUGUGCACGGCUGAAGCAACACGUGAAAGAGCAUUAAACACAUUUCCAUCUUUUAUUUGGAAAAGCACAAAUGGAGGACCCCUUAGUCCACUUUGCAACGUCCAGAAUCAGAGAAUGCCAUGAGCUGAAGACAAUAAAGGGGCUGGACAUCAGUAGACAGAGACAGUAGGCAGUAGGAGUAGGAGUAGGAUAGAGGUUUCUGUUCUUCUGUUCUGGUUUUCAUUUUUUUCCCCCUCCCCUUUGGGGAGGUUUGGGUUUGUUUUCCAUUUCCAGUGAUAGUGUUUACUGUAAUUUCCAUUGUUAGAAUUCUCGUUUGAUGUGUACUGUAAUUUCUUCUUUUCUGUAAUGGACUCUAGUUAAAUUUCCAGUUUAAACUCAUUUCCGCUGAUGAACUUCCAAUUCCAUUUCAAUUUCGACUGCUCAACUUCCAGGUCUGAUUUCUGUUUCUUCAGUUUAAUUUGCAGUUAAAUCUUAAUUUCCGCAUUGAAAUUCCAGGUCCGUUUACUGUUUCUAUUAAAUUUCUGAUGCAAUUUAAAUUCUGCCUUAUGCUGUCUGCCAUCUUGAAUUUUUUUUGUUGCUGUUUAAUAUCUUGUUGCACUUUAAAUUUCGUUUUUACUAUUCAGCUGUGAAAAUUUCCGUUUUUGUUUUACUGUUUUCAAUCUACUGCUUUCUGAACUUAAGUUUUCUGCAACUAUUUUCUGCUUGAAAUUUACGAUUUUUGCACUAUUGAAAUGUUUUCUGAUCUGAGCAAUCUUAAGUUUUCUGUUCUAUGCAAUCUGAAGAGGUCUGCGUUUUACUGUUCGUUUUUACUGUCUUGCACGAUUUUACAGUGUUCUGUAUUUUUGAUUUACUGUAUUUUUGUUUAUGUACUGUUGUUUUAAUAAAAUUUUGUUUUUGCUAUUUAGUUUUACUGUCUGUUAAUUUUAAUUCUUAUGUUUUUGAAAUUUCGUUUUUACUGCUUCAAUUUAUGGUUUUACUGUUUCAAUUUUAUUUUACUGAAAUUUAAUUUUCUGUUCAAAAACAAAAACAAUCAAAACCCCUCUUUUCGUGUUAAAAGAUCUAAAACUGAACCGCGAAUAAUGGGUCUUGAGAGACUAUCUAAGAGUCACUUCCUAGUAUCUAUACUGCAUUAUUUAUCUGAAUCAAAUUUGUAUGAACCCUGACUGUCGUAUCAGUAAUGGAGGGUGGAAGCUUAGAUAUUCUUGAUAUCCCACGAAGACUAAAAUAGGUCAAAUUCUUUUGAUUCUUCAACUUCUGUAGGAAUCGUUCACUCCCUACUUCAAUGUGAUGUGAAGGAGAAUCUUGCCAACGACCAAGUUGAAGCACCUUUAAAUUUUGGAUGUUUUUAUCCAACCAUUGAGAUCCAAAAUUUAAAUAACUGGCACCACCUUUAAAUUUUGGAUGUUUCAAACUAUUUUCACCUAGUACAAUUUCUUUUUGCUCUAGUACUGACCAUUUACCUCGUAUGUGAUUGUAGGGUAUUCUAAGAGGAAAUGGAUAACUCCUGUGAUUUUCUGUUGAUAGUGUGAAGCAGUUCUUCUUCGUUAUUCUUUACUUUCUCGAACAACUUCCUUAUCUUGUUCACUUCUCUCCUUAACUUUUCCAAAAUCCUAUCUAAUGAUUCAUCUCUUCCCCUUUCACGG